CUGCUAGUCAGCCUGGUUCCACAUUUGCAGCUUAUCAAAAGGGACAAGGAAUUAAUAUCAGAUUUAUUUGGAGAAAACAGAAAUCCCACAACCCAAAGGAUGGGAUUUUACAUCAAGACAUCUCCCAGGCUGACAUUUCUUGGCAACCUACGGAAGCUGUUCUGAUGAGCCUCUGUGUUAGUAAAGAAUACAUCUCUAUAAAUGGACUGCAGUACAGCUGACCUUGGACAGGCUUAUUUGGGCCUAACUGGGUUCUAAGCUUUCUGCUGGGUUCAGCUCUUUGUACUUCAGGCAACAACACCUGAGAGGAUUUUUCUGGCAGGCGAAAAAAUGUUUGCAAUGACUUUGAUGAUACGGUGACUGAGGUGUAUUUAUCCUUAGGUGCAUAAGCAAUGGCACACAACCAAAGACUGGCUGCUACCUUCACAUUCCUUCUAAAGGGGCUAAAAGGAAGAAGUAUGGAAAAAUGUAUCCACUCAAGUAGAAAUUUUAUAUUGAGUGUGCAGUUUUGAUUUUGAAUGUCUGAUUUUGUUUGUAGGCCAAAAAAGACUGUGAUUCCA
rnacentral:lncRNA from 1 species